rnacentral:rRNA from 1 species
GAUGAACGCUAGCUACAGGCUUAACACAUGCAAGUCGAGGGGCAGCAUUUUAGUUUGCUUGCAAACUGAAGAUGGCGACCGGCGCACGGGUGAGUAACACGUAUCCAACCUGCCGAUAACUCCGGAAUAGCCUUUCGAAAGAAAGAUUAAUACCGGAUAGCAUACGAAUAUCGCAUGAUAUUUUUAUUAAAGAAUUUCGGUUAUCGAUGGGGAUGCGUUCCAUUAGUUUGUUGGCGGGGUAACGGCCCACCAAGACUACGACGGAUAGGGGUUCUGAGAGGAAGGCCCCCCACAUUGGAACUGAGACACGGUCCAAACUCCUACGGGAGGCAGCAGUGAGGAAUAUUGGUCAAUGGACGAGAGUCUGAACCAGCCAAGUAGCGUGAAGGAUGACUGCCCUAUGGGUUGUAAACUUCUUUUAUACGGGAAUAAAGUGAGGCACGUGUGCCUUUUUGUAUGUACCGUAUGAAUAAGGAUCGGCUAACUCCGUGCCAGCAGCCGCGGUAAUACGGAGGAUCCGAGCGUUAUCCGGAUUUAUUGGGUUUAAAGGGAGCGUAGGCGGACGCUUAAGUCAGUUGUGAAAGUUUGCGGCUCAACCGUAAAAUUGCAGUUGAUACUGGGUGUCUUGAGUACAGUAGAGGCAGGCGGAAUUUCGUGGUGUAGCGGUGAAAUGCUUAGAUAUCACGAAGAACUCCGAUUGCGAAGGCAGCCUGCUGGACUGUAACUGACGCUGAUGCUCGAAAGUGUGGGUAUCAAACAGGAUUAGAUACCCUGGUAGUCCACACAGUAAACGAUGAAUACUCGCUGUUUGCGAUAUACAGUAAGCGGCCAAGCGAAAGCGUUAAGUAUUCCACCUGGGGAGUACGCCGGCAACGGUGAAACUCAAAGGAAUUGACGGGGGCCCGCACAAGCGGAGGAACAUGUGGUUUAAUUCGAUGAUACGCGAGGAACCUUACCCGGGCUUGAAUUGCAACUGAAUGAUGUGGAGACAUGUCAGCCGCAAGGCAGUUGUGAAGGUGCUGCAUGGUUGUCGUCAGCUCGUGCCGUGAGGUGUCGGCUUAAGUGCCAUAACGAGCGCAACCCUUAUCGAUAGUUACCAUCAGGUUAUGCUGGGGACUCUGUCGAGACUGCCGCCGUAAGAUGUGAGGAAGGUGGGGAUGACGUCAAAUCAGCACGGCCCUUACGUCCGGGGCUACACACGUGUUACAAUGGGGGGUACAGAAGGCAGCUACACGGCGACGUGAUGCUAAUCCCGAAAGCCUCUCUCAGUUCGGAUUGGAGUCUGCAACCCGACUCCAUGAAGCUGGAUUCGCUAGUAAUCGCGCAUCAGCCACGGCGCGGUGAAUACGUUCCCGGGCCUUGUACACACCGCCCGUCAAGCCAUGAAAGCCGGGGGUACCUGAAGUGCGUAACCGCAAGGAGCGCCCUAGGGUAAAACUGGUGAUUGGGGCU